rnacentral:lncRNA from 1 species
GGCAACUGCUAUUCUAUAUAUCAUCAGUUAAUAUUAAAUGGAAAUAUAGCAAUCCCUGAUGUAUAUAUACAUAAAAUUGCAAUGUUUGUAUAUCUGUUUCACAAAGGGCUUCCACACUGUUUGAUCUACAGAACUGAACUGUACAUUAAGAUUUAUUGUGACCCUUUGAGUAGCAUAGGCUAUCCUAAGUCAAGAUCACCCCAUAUAUAUGUAGGGCAGUUUGGGAUGACAAUGAAAAUGCAUUCAUUUAAAUCCUUCAGAGUCACAUUUGAAUUUAGAAUGACAUCAAAGUCACAUCAGC